CCUACGGGAGGCAGCAGUGGGGAAUAUUGGACAAUGGGGGCAACCCUGAUCCAGCCAUGCCGCGUGUGUGAAGAAGGCCCUCGGGUUGUAAAGCACUUUCAGUGAGGAAGAACGCCUGGUGGUUAAUACCCAUCAGGAAAGACAUCACUCACAGAAGAAGCACCGGCUAACUCCGUGCCAGCAGCCGCGGUAAUACGGAGGGUGCGAGCGUUAAUCGGAAUUACUGGGCGUAAAGCGCGCGUAGGUGGCUUGAUAAGCCGGUUGUGAAAGCCCCGGGCUCAACCUGGGAACGGCAUCCGGAACUGUCAAGCUAGAGCGCAGGAGAGGAAGGUAGAAUUCCCGGUGUAGCGGUGAAAUGCGUAGAGAUCGGGAGGAAUACCAGUGGCGAAGGCGGCCUUCUGGACUGACACUGACACUGAGGUGCGAAAGCGUGGGUAGCAAACAGGAUUAGAUACCCUAGUAGUC
rnacentral:rRNA from 1 species